rnacentral:rRNA from 1 species
GGAGUAUGAACCGUAUCUCAGUUCCAUUGUGGCUGUUCAUCCUCUCAGACCAGCUACUGAUCGUCGCCUUGGUGGGCUUUUACCUCACCAACCAGCUAAUCAGACGCAGAUUCCUCUCUUCGCGAUAAAUCUUUAAUCAGCAAACCAUGCGACUUGUUGAUAACAUCCGGAAUUAGCAUCUCUUUCGAGAUGUUAUGCCGGACGAAGAGGCAGAUUAUCUACGCGUUACUCACCCGUUUGCCACUAACAUCCGAAGAUGUCCGUUCGACUUGCAUGUGUUAGGCACGCCGCCAGCGUUUGUC